UCUGUUGAAUAUUAAUUGACUAUAAAGGUGUGGGUGUAUUUCUGGGAUCUCUAUUCUGUUCCAUUGAUCUAUGUGUCUGUUUUUAUGUCAGUACCAGGCUGUUUUGAUUACUAUGGCCUUACAGAAUAGUUUGAUGUUAGGUGGCAUGCUACCUCCAACUUUGUUCUUCUUUCUCAGAAUCAUUGUUGCUA